rnacentral:rRNA from 1 species
UGGGGAAUAUUGCACAAUGGGCGAAAGCCUGAUGCAGCAACGCCGCGUGGGGGAUGACGGCCUUCGGGUUGUAAACCUCUUUUAGCAGGGAAGAAGCGAAAGUGACGGUACCUGCAGAAAAAGCGCCGGCUAACUACGUGCCAGCAGCCGCGGUAAUACGUAGGGCGCAAGCGUUGUCCGGAAUUAUUGGGCGUAAAGAGCUCGUAGGCGGUUGGUCGCGUCUGCUGUGAAAACCCGAGGCUCAACCUCGGACCUGCAGUGGGUACGGGCCAACUAGAGUGCGGUAGGGGAGAUCGGAAUUCCUGGUGUAGCGGUGGAAUGCGCAGAUAUCAGGAGGAACACCAAUGGCGAAGGCAGAUCUCUGGGCCGUAACUGACGCUGAGGAGCGAAAGCGUGGGGAGCGAACAGG